GAAAUUAACUUGAAUAAGCGAGUUCGGUAUUCCGAAAAAGGCAAAGAAUCAUGGGAUUUAUCAAAGGUCAUUUGCCAUAAAGAAAAAGAGAACAAAGCGCUGGCUGAAGAAACUUUGUAUAAAUUCUUAAUUUUAUUAUUA